CUUCAGCCAAGUGUGAUUUAGUAGAGGGAAAAAUUAAAAGAUCUGGGUGGGAAACAAAUUAUGAACCCUCUCUGACUGUAUGUGUUCAUCUGUUUGGGACCGAUCCAUACCUCCAGAGAUUGUGUUAGGAUGAAAUAGGUUUGUGAAAUUGCUCUUUAUACAGAAAAGCACUAUUCAAAUAUUGGGUAUCAUCCCUAUUUCAAAAUCUGGAUUGCUGAAGUUCAAUUUAAUAAGAUGGGUUUUAUUUUAUUUUUUUUCAUGCAUGGAAAGAACUUGUUUACAAGGGUGAAGAGCUCCCUGUGAGUAUGGAAGCUUAUCAGGAACUCCUCUACCAUUUCCAGGAGUCCAGAGGGCUACCCUGUUUGCAAAGUGUUAUCAAGGAGCGGGGUGUUCAGAAAAACAAACUCGCCUGUCCUGGGGUGGCCAGAUUAAGGUCUGUCUCCUCCAAAAACCUCCUGGGAUAACUUCAUCUCAGUUCUCUCUCUGCCUCAGAAUGACUAGAGCCUGCCACUAGAUUCAAUUCAACAAUAACUUUGUGGGGAAAAGGUCACUUUGCUGGGUGCCGGGGUAGGGGGUGAGGGUGGUGAGAUCUGAGAUGGAGAGAGGGCUCAAGGGCAGAGCCUGCAGUCCACCGGCCUGGUCCUCAGGAAUUCACGGUCUGCAGAUGGACACUUGUUGGACAUUCACACCCUAUCAGGCAUAUGAACAACAUCUGAACCAAAAGACAGCAGAUAUAAUGGACUCAUUUUGUACAAAAGCUCUAGAAAGUAAAAUAUUCUAAGGUGUUUGAGGAGGAAACGGCAACCCACUCCAGUAUUCUUGCCCGGAAAGUCCCGUGGACAGAGAAACCUGGGGGUCUACAGUCCACAGCGUUGCAAAGAAUCGGACAUGACUGCAGUGAUUUAGCACAGCAUACAAGGCAGCACAGCAAUGAUGCGCUGCAGAUAGAAGUACCUCUUCUCAAUUCCUCCCAGACUGGAUGAUGCAUCAGAAAACAGCUUUACAGCAGGCCUAUUCUGCCAACUAGGAUGGAGACUGGAAGGCAUGCCUUUGGAGAGUUUAAAUUUAUGUUUCAACAACCCCAUGUGAAAUAAAGGUCUGGUUGAUUAAUCAGUUUCUUGAGUCAAUGAAGAGAGCCAGUCAAAAGUAUUCUAACUCUGGAAGGGAUUUCUAACCUGAAUAAUCUACCUUAACAGCCCAAUACAUCAAUUAACUGUAUAGUGAUCAUUAUCAAAUUACCAAUUUCACUUAGCUUAUAUGAUUUUAGUGCUAUGUAGACACAAAUUCGAAUUUUGCAUCGAUGUAGGCUCCCUUUCUUCUGUACUUUCUUUAUGACCUGACUUUGUAUGCUUAUAAUAUAAUUUUUAUUAUAAAUAAAUAUCUAUUCUAAAAAAAGUAAAUUUCUUUUUUUAUUAAAUCUCUUUACUUACAAUUCAGGCUAUGUUGGAGGAGGAAAUGGCAACCCACUCCAGUAUUCUUGCCUGAAGAAUCCCAUGGACAGAGGAGCCUGGUGGACACAGUACAUAGAGUCACAAAGAGUCGGACACGACUGAGCUGCAAGCAGCAGGCUAUGUUAGGAUGGUUGACUUUCUUCAUUGCUUGGUGCUUACUUCCC
ensembl:lncRNA